CGGACGGGUGAGUAACGCGUGAGAACCUGCCCUUGGGAGGGGGACAACCGCUGGAAACGGUGGCUAAUACCGGAUGUGCCGCAAGGUGAAAGGUUAACUGCCUGAAGAUGAGCUCGCGUCUGAUUAGCUAGUUGGAAGUGUAAAGGACUCCCAAGGCGACGAUCAGUAGCUGGUCUGAGAGGACGAUCAGCCACACUGGGACUGAGACACGGCCCAGACUCCUACGGGAGGCAGCAGUGGGGAAUUUUCCGCAAUGGGCGAAAGCCUGACGGAGCAAUACCGCGUGAGGGAGGAAGGCUCUUGGGUCGUAAACCUCUUUUCUCAGGGAAGAACAAAAUGACGGUACCUGAGGAAUAAGCAUCGGCUAACUCCGUGCCAGCAGCCGCGGUAAUACGGAGGAUGCAAGCGUUAUCCGGAAUGAUUGGGCGUAAAGCGUCCGCAGGUGGCAAUGUAAGUCUGCUGUUAAAGAGUCUAGCUCAACUAGAUAAGAGCAGUGGAAACUACAUAGCUAGAGUACGUUCGGGGCAGAGGGAAUUCCUGGUGUAGCGGUGAAAUGCGUAGAGAUCAGGAAGAACACCGGUGGCGAAGGCGCUCUGCUAGGCCGUAACUGACACUGAGGGACGAAAGCUAGGGGAGCGAAUGGGAUUAGAUACCCCAGUAGUC
rnacentral:rRNA from 1 species